UGCGGAAGGAUCAUUAUUGAAAUUAUAGGUGAGGGUUGUAGCUGGCCUCUCGGGGCAUGUGCACGCCCGAGCCCUUAAUCCACACACACCUGUGAACCUAUUGUAAGGGCCCUUAAAAAAGGCCUUUACGUCUUAUCAUCAACCCAUCGUAUGUCUCAUAGAAUGUAAAUAUAUGUCCUCGCCUUAAAAAGCGUUGAUAAACUUAUACAACUUUCAACAACGGAUCUCUUGGCUCUCGCAUCGAUGAAGAACGCAGCGAAAUGCGAUAAGUAAUGUGAAUUGCAGAUUUUCAGUGAAUCAUCGAAUCUUUGAACGCACCUUGCGCUCCUUGGUAUUCCGAGGAGCAUGCCUGUUUGAGUGUCAUUAAAUUCUCAACUCCGAUCGAUUUGUUUCGACUUCGGAGCUUGGAUUUGGAGCGUGCUGGCGUCGGUCGGCUCCUCUUAAAUGCAUCAGCGGAAUCUAACGUUUCGGANGUCAGUGUGAUAAUCAUGUUGCGCUGUCUGUCUGAUCCGAAAGCCCGCUCAC
rnacentral:rRNA from 1 species